UUAGCAUUUCCGGGAAGCCCGAAAUGUAGAGAAAGGUGGUGAGCUCAUGGGCGUUGAUACGCUUUGGGUUGAUGGAAAGGUAACUCCUUAGAUCUGUCGUGAUUUCCCAGCCGUUUGUCUCAGUCCUUAGUGAUUCUGUUACUUUUUAAUCUGACACAAUAUGCUGAUUCGAUGUUUGUUUGGUGGUUUAACAUGUUGUUUUCUCUUGAGAUUGAAUGAAUGUAGAAUGUAGAAUGAAAUAGGAUUGUGUUGGGUUUCCUAAAGAUGAAUUUAGAUGGACGUUUAUGGUGUGUAUAACUAGAAAAGUUUCUCCAACAGGUAAAUUGCUUGCUUGCUGCUGCUAUUGUUCGUUUACAGAAUGUUUCAGAAGAAAUUUUUUUCUGCUUUCUUUGUUUUCAAAUAGAACAUUGUUGGUAAAUGGAUCAAAGCUAUUCGCAAUUGCAUUUCUUGCAACAGGGCAGAGCUGGACCAUAAUCUCUGAACUAAAGCAGGACGAUACGUAAUGCAUGGGUUUCUUGAUCUAGGACUCGAUCCAUGGCUCAGAAACAUCUAACAAAAAGCUUAGCUGUACUCAUGAGCCUAAUCGUUACUCUCAUUGGUGAUUGAGGUGGAGCUGGAAAGUUAAUCACCAUUUCCGGUUGAUAGGGAUAUGCGAGUCACUACUGAUCGAUCAUAUAUCACAGCCAAUAGUAAAGAAAGGAGAGCUGAAAUUCAACGAGCUAUGAUGUUGCAGUGUACUUCGGAUGUACAAGUAAUGACUAUUGGAAAUGGAGCCAGAAGUGCUUGGAAUUGUCAG